rnacentral:rRNA from 1 species
AUACGUAGGGGGCGAGCGUUGUCCGGAAUGAUUGGGCGUAAAGGGCGCGUAGGCGGCCUGUUAAGUCUGGAGUGAAAGUCCUGUUUUCAAGAUGGGAAUUGCUUUGGAUACUGAUGGGCUUGAGUGCAGGAGAGGUUAUCGGAAUUCCCGGUGUAGCGGUGAAAUGCGUAGAGAUCGGGAGGAACACCAGUGGCGAAGGCGGGUAACUGGACUGCAACUGACGCUGAGGCGCGAAAGUGUGGGGAGCAAACAGGAUUAGAUACCCUGGUAGUCCACACUGUAAACGAUGAAUGCUAGGUGUAAGAGGUAUCGACCCCUUUUGUGCCGGAGUUAACACAUAAGCAUUCCGCCUGGGGAGUACGGCCGCAAGGUUGAAACUCAAAUGAAUUGACGGGG